rnacentral:rRNA from 1 species
UACGAAGGGAGCUAGCGUUGUUCGGAAUUACUGGGCGUAAAGGGCUCGUAGGUGGCCAACUAAGUCAGACGUGAAAUCCCCAGGCUCAACUUGGGAACUGCGUCUGAUACUGGAUGGCUUGAAUUCGGGAGAGGGAUGCAGAAUUCCAGGUGUAGCGGUGAAAUGCGUAGAUAUCUGGAGGAAUACCGGUGGCGAAGGCGGCAUCCUGGACCGAGAUUGACACUGAUGAGCGAAAGCUAGGGGAGCAAACGGG